AUACGUAGGUGACAAGCGUUAUCCGGAUUUACUGGGCGUAAAGGGCGUGUAGGCGGUCUUGCAAGUCAGAAGUGAAAUUCCUGAGCUCAACUCGGGCGCUGCUUCUGAAACUGCAGGACUUGAGUGCUGGAGGGGAUAGCGGAAUUCCUAGUGGAGCGGUAAAAUGCGCAGAUAUUAGGAAGAACACCGGUGGCGAAGGCGGCUAUCUGGACAGUAACUGACGCUGAGGCGCGAAAGCGUGGGGAGCAAACAGGAUUAGAUACCCUGGUAGUCCACACUGUAAACGAUGAUUACUAGCUGUUUGCGAUACAAUGUAAGCGGCUGAGCGAAAGCGUUAAGUAAUCCACCUGGGGAGUACGUUCGCAAGAAUGAAACUCAAAGGAAUUGACGGGG
rnacentral:rRNA from 1 species